AGAGUUUGAUCAUGGCUCAGGACGAACGCUGGCGGCAUGCCUAAUACAUGCAAGUCGAACGGGUAUACCCGCAAGGGUGUAUCAGUGGCGAACGGGUGAGUAAUGUAUGAGCAACCUGCCCUAUUCAACGGGAUAGCGGUUGGAAACGACCGGUAAUACCGUAUAAGACCACACCGCCGCAUGGCGGAGCGGUCAAAGCGAUUUAGCGGAAUAGGAUGGGCUCAUACCCCAUUAGCUAGUUGGUGAGAUAACAGCCCACCAAGGCUACGAUGGGUAGCCGACUUGGGAGAGUGAUCGGCCACACUGGAACUGAGACACGGUCCAGACUCCUACGGGAGGCAGCAGUAAGGAAUAUUGGGCAAUGGAGGAAACUCUGACCCAGCAAUGCCGCGUGAGUGAAGAAGGUCUUCGGAUUGUAAAGCUCUUUUAUCGGGAACGAAAAAAAUGACGGUACCCGAUGAAUAAGCCCCGGCUAACUACGUGCCAGCAGCCGCGGUAAUACGUAGGGGGCAAGCGUUGUCCGGAAUGACUGGGCGUAAAGGGAGUGUAGGCGGUCUGAUAAGUUGGAAGUGUAAUACCCAGAGCUCAACUCGGGUGCUGCUUUCAAUACUGUCGGACUUGAGUGCAGGAGAGGAGAGUGGAAUUCCUAGUGGAGCGGUGGAAUGCGUAGAUAUUAGGAGGAACAUCAGUGGCGAAGGCGACUCUCUGGCCUGUUACUGACGCUGAGGCGCGAAAGCCAGGGGAGCGAACGGGAUUAGAUACCCCGGUAGUCCUGGCUGUAAACGAUGGGUACUAGGUGUUGGGGGUAUCGACCCCUCCAGUGCCGCAGUUAACGCAAUAAGUACCCCGCCUGGGGAGUACGGCCGCAAGGUUGAAACUCAAAGGAAUUGACGG
rnacentral:rRNA from 1 species